UGCAAGUCGUACGAAAGUUUUUAACUUUAGUGGCGGACGGGUGAGUAACACGUGAGAAUUUACCUUUAGGAGGGGGAUAACAAUUGGAAACGAAUGCCAACACCCCAUAUGCUUUUGAGUGAAAUGGAUUUAUCCGCCUAAAGAGAAGCUCGCGGCUGAUUAGCUUGUUGGUAAGGUAAGAGCUUACCAAGGCGACGAUCAGUAUCUGGUUUGAGAGGACGAUCAGACACACUGGAACUGAGACACGGUCCAGACUCCUACGGGAGGCAGCAGUGGGGAAUUUUCCGCAAUGGGCGAAAGCCUGACGGAGCAAUACCGCGUGAGGGAAGACUGCCUAUGGGUUGUAAACCUCUUUUUUCAGGGAGGAAUAAAUUGACGUGUACCUGAAGAAUAAGCAUCGGCUAACUCCGUGCCAGCAGCCGCGGUAAGACGGAGGAUGCAAGUGUUAUCCGGAAUCACUGGGCGUAAAGCGUCUGUAGGUGGUUUAAUAAGUCAACUGUUAAAUCUUGAGGCUCAACUUCAAAAUCGCAGUCGAAACUAUUAGACUAGAGUAUAGUAGAGGUAAAGGGAAUUUCCAGUGGAGCGGUGAAAUGCGUAGAUAUUGGAAAGAACACCAAUGGCGAAAGCACUUUACUGGGCUAUUACUAACACUCAGAGACGAAAGCUAGGGUAGCAAAAGGGAUUAGAUACCCCUGUAGUC
rnacentral:rRNA from 1 species